UACAGAGGGUGCGAGCGUUGUUCGGAAUUAUUGGGCGUAAAGCGCAUGUAGGCGGGAUGUUAAGUCGCGUGUGAAAGCCCCAGGCUCAACCUGGGAAGUGCGCGCGAAACUGGCAACCUUGAGUGCUGGAGAGGGUGGCGGAAUUCCCGGUGUAGAGGUGAAAUUCGUAGAUAUCGAGAGGAACACCGGUGGCGAAGGCGGCCAACUGGACGAAUACUGACGCUGAGACUCGAAAGCGUGGGGAGCAAACAGG
rnacentral:rRNA from 1 species